GCGAUGGGCUGGCACAGGAGAAAUUGUGAUUGAUGUAGCAGUACGAACAAGUCUCGUCUGGCCAGUUCGAACAGCAUGUUGGAAUUCAUUGCGUCUCUCCACCGUAAAUAUCUCUCCCUCCAUUCCCCCCAGCCACCUACCCUACCUCGUACGAUCCCCAUCCUUAAGCAUCCCCGCGCUCGAUCCAUUCACCGGGUCAUUCUGCGCGCGACGGGUGAGGGUCAUGUGCAACGCAGGGAGGUCGCCGGGCGCAGCAGCGGCUGAUCCGGUGCUUUGCCGGCGGAUUUGGUGCGCGGUGUGGCGGAGAUGGACAUGGCGGUUUCUUCCCCACUGACCCGGCCUUUGGCCGCCUGUGCCUGCGCGUGAGGCGGAUGGGGCAGCUCAUGGUCCACGGCGACAAUGCUUCCCAUGCCGCCGCCGUCGCUGCCAGCCCCCAUGUCGCGCCUCGCCACCACGCGCUUCAAACCCCGCUGGCGACGGCUAGGACGGAUUAUCAGAUUGUAGCACCGGACCUCCAGGGGCAUCAGGUGUGCAUGUUGAUGCUGUUUCUGGUAAUACAUCAGCCAUGCUUGUCCUUUCUUUUAUGGAAUACACAGAGACGCAACAUGCAUGGUGACUCUCAGGGUAUCUUUUGACCUUUCGUAGUUCAACCAAUUUUUUUGAAAUUUUAAUUCAUUUGGUUGAACCAAGGAAGGUCAAAGGGUACCUUGAGGGUUACAAUUUUGCAGCUCUAGGAAUACAACAGUAGUAGUACAUCUAUAGUUCGUAUGGUUGUAUGAUUGAGGAUUUGAGGUGUGCUUGUGUGGUUGGCAUGUGGUUUUGCUGUUUUGCUGGUUGCUUUAGAAUUUGAACUGAUGAUUUAUGUAUGUUUUGGUAGUAGCACUAUGAAAUCAUUUGGCAUGUAAUGAGGCACCAUAGCUUAAUCAUGCGGAUGUUCUGCAGUUUAUGGAGAACUGCGCCUGUCAUUUGGGCCAGGCCGUGUUAAUUAAGUAGGUACUGAAACGCUUAAUGA